rnacentral:rRNA from 1 species
GGCCACAGGCACACUACCCUGAACCCUUGAGAUCUGAUCUGAGAAGCUAAGCAGGGCCAGGCCAGGUUAGUACUUGGAUGGAAAAUACCAGGUGGUGUAGGAU